UACCGCCGCCGCGGGGGAGGCGCGGGGGCCGCCCGCCCUCCCGCCCCGCGAAACUCACCUCCCUUCCCCUCCGCUACCCCGCUUCCACCCUCACCGUCGCGCUUCGGAGCGGGUGCCGCCGCUGCCGCCGUCGGCACAGGCGGUUUUGACCUUUCAAUAGAGAGCUGAUUUUGGAGAACGGCUUACUCCUGUGAUUGAAAAACUCUCUGGAAGGUUGAUGGAGCAUGAGCAUGAACUGCAGUCUUGAACAGCAAUUAAAAAUCUCACUGUUACUUCAGGAGAAGAGCAGUCAAGAUAGCCCUGUUAAUUUCCAGAAGUUGUCUGUCAUGACUUGACUAGGAGGCUUAUUGCAAUGGAGUGGCAUGCUUGGGUCCAUGCUGUGAGAAUUUUUCAUUGAGAUGAUUGAAAUUGCUGCAGUGAGAAUGGAAAUUACUUAGGCUCCUUUCCUUUUAAAAGCUUCAUGCGAGAACUGUGUGGUGAGUCAAAUGUAGACUAAUGGUUAUGUAAAUGUCACUAAUUUUAGAUACAGAUCUGAAAGUGUGUUUCCUUUUAAGAUUUUAUUUUCUUCACUAUCAUGACUCAGUAUCACUUGCUAAUCUAAUUUUAUUAGCCUUGUUGUAUUUUACCAUUUAAAAUACACAUACCUUAUUCAAAUAGGUCUUCACACAGUCAAGUUAAUAUAUCAUAUAGAUGCUUUAAAAGGAGGAAAAAAGGCUUAUCUGCACUCAAAAUUUGUUUUGAUUUUAGCCUUCACAGAACUGCUACUGGUGCCGUUGCACAGGUACAAAUAUGAUGUAGAUGAAUAUGAAUCCAGGUUGUUAUAAUUCAUUAGUUUGCAUUAUUUGACCAUAUUUCAGAAUUUCAGACUGGUAAAAAUCACUCAUUUUCUACUACUGCUAUGAAUUUGAACUGACAAAAUUACUUAUAGCUAAAAUUUCAAAUUUAGUUCAGACCUGAGCAGUUCUCAAUAGCACAGCUAUGCAGAAUUAGCCUACAGCUUUUCAUAAAGAACAUUUGUGUGCACAUUUACCUACCACAUUUCUCUUAAUGUACAUGACCAAAAUGAGGUAGACUACUUACAAAAAAUACCCUAUCUGGCUCAAAGUUGGAUAGCUUUCUCUUUGAGUUUCUUUAGGGAGUUUCUUUUCUUUCUUUCAACCUAUGCAACUGCUAAAUAUUAAAGACCUGCACAUACACUUCAACCAUUUGAGGACUUAGAAACGCUUGGAAAGACCUUAAAGGUCUCUGCUUCUUUUCAUCAUGCUGCAGACUGGUGCUUGCAGCAGGCCCAUCCAUCCAGUUGCUCUUGUAGAUCUAGUAUUUUAAUGUACCCAGGAUUUUUCCCAGAGACUUCCAUGAGUAGAUGUGAAUCUAAAGAGCUGAUCAGAGACUUGAGAGCAUACAACAAAUAAGUCUAUUUACAUGGCUUUGUCAAAGUCCGGUGGCCAAACUGUUUGUUGCUGACUACUUCAUUGUGCUCGUGUUGGCCUUUGUGCAAAGAGUGAAACAGACUGUGCUUCCUUCUGGUUCACCAUGCAAACUCCUAUCACUGGCACAAGGGCAGGAAAUAGCAGGGAGCAGGAAGAAGCAGAAGGGCAAAGGUUGGAGCGCCUUGUUCGGUGGCCCUAGCAGCAUAGAAUAGUUCAGUGACAUGGUGAAAACACAGUUUGAGCAUUUGCAGAACCAGAGUUCAACUGAGGAACCAAAGUUCCUGUCUGGAUAAGAAAACUGCUUCAAGUGCUAAUGAAGGCCGAUUCAAUGAUUCAGUUCCUAAACCUUUGAAAAGGAUGUUACAUUUCUCACAUGGUUCUCAGGUGGCUUAAUAUUAGCAGUUAUAUUUUCCAGAUGUUUGCCUGUAUGGGUGGUGCCAGAGACUGGCUGGAUCAAACUGACUUCAUGUUGCAGCUCUGGGGUCCUAAGGACUGUGCCUGAUGUAAGAAAGAAAGGCUCCCUGUUUUCAGUUCAGGUGCUUGUUUUCUGCUAGGCUUAGGAGCUGUAUGGGAAAAAGAUGCUUAAUUCACAUAAAAAGGCAAGAAAAGAUAGGCCUGCUUGAAAAUAAACGAGACUAAUAGCUAUAUAUGAGUGAAGACAAGUAAUUUUAGGAGCAUGUCUAAAAGUGCAAUGUUAAAAGGCUGGAGGUGAGAACAGAUACAGGAAGAUCUGAUGAACUGGAAAAUCAGAAGGAUUGAAAUAAUUUGGGCAAAGAUCUGGGGUGUUGUUUGUUUAUUGAAAUUGGAAGAAGCGGCAGCCUGACAGAGGGGAUCUGACUUGAGGCAAAGAGAACAAGUCAGGUUUAAGCAAAGAGGCUUGCACUCCUCAGAUGAUUCCUAACAUUCACUGGAGUGCUCUUCACAUCCAGAAGGUAAUACAGACUGUUAAGUAGUAGCUUUUGCUGUCAUAUUGGAAAUCACUGUCAAUUUCACCUCCCUCAUUGUAUUCCACAGAGAAGAGGGCCAGCCUAUUAGUACCCUCAGCUACUUGAUGGAUUUUGGUCCUGAAAAGAAAUCUCAAAGUAAGAAUAGUUGAGGUUGUAAAGGAGAUCUCUAGUUCAAACAGGGUAGUUUCUUUAAGGCUAUGUCCAGUCAAUUUUGAAUCUAUUCAAGGAUGGAGACUCUGCAGCCUAUCUUGUUCAGCUAGAAUUUCAUGCACUUCAUUUCUUACCUGUAGCCUCUUGUCCUAUUUCUGGACAGAGAAGAGCCUGGCUAUGUCUUCUUUACUCUGUCGUACCCUCACCAGCAGGCAUUUAGAAACAUUGCUGAGAUCAUACAAACACAAGCCCUUUCUUCUCCAGGCUGGAGUCUCAGCUCACUCAGCCUUUCUUCAUGUGAAAGAUUCUUCAGUUCUCUCAUCGUCUUUGUGGAAGUCAAUAAAAUGCUUCAUCUAAUAAGGGGAAUUAGAAUUCAAAGGAGGAAAUGGUUUUUUUUGGGGGGGGGAACAAAGCACAAGCUAAUAACUGUAAAAAGAACAAGAAGAUCACAAAAUGAAACAUUAAGAAGUUAGAUAACUGUUGGUUGAAGAUUCUGCAAUCUUCAUUUGCCCCCUUGUGUCAGUAUACUAUGAAGCAAUCUUCGUGAUCACACAGAAUGUUUAAUCUAUUGAUAGGGUCAGUCUGUGGUGCUGAGCUGGGGAGGGUGCUUGUGGGCUGCCAGCAAGAAGCCUGAUGUUGCUGUAGGUGCUGCAGAAAUUAGUAAAAAAUUCUCUAGGCAAUGGAACAAAUGGCUGCAAGUAGAGAAAUCCAUGUCUUAGUGGUUAUGUCUAGUGAGAAUUGCUAAGAAUUGGAUGUGAUGUUUAUUUUUCUGCCUAUAUUCUUGUGUGAGGCUGGACAAAUAACCAGGCCAUUGUUUCUGAGUGCGUAUAUUGUGCUUUACUUUGGAGGUGUCUGAUUUAAGACACAUCUGAAAGAAACACUGGUGGUUCACAUUGGUAGCUGAGCUUCUUAGGAGCUGUCAUUUGAAUAAAAUACUCUGUGAAGUUAUGUCUGCUGACAGUCUCCUGUCUUCCUAAAGAGAACUUCAAACUGUUGCAUACUAUAAUAGUUUCCACACCUCUGUGUCACAUUUAAAGCAGGAGUAAUGGACACAUACCUUGAACGGCUGGUAGCUACUUUUGUUUAGUAGCUGUACUACAGUAAUGCAUUGCCUUAUGGAAUUUUCUAUGGCAUUUAUUAAUUCUGAUUUCAGAGGAAGAGGUGAGUACUGUGCAUCUUUUAAAGAUCAGAUCUGCAAUCAAUUUUCCUUGUUACCAGUUCAGGCUGGGAAGCAGAGUUUCUGUGCUGUUCAUUCACGGUCUGUUUCUGCAGUCCUGCAAACUCCAAAAUACUCUGAUUUUGUCCCGUCUUGUCACAGAUUCAUUUUGCAAAUAUAACUCAUUAUUAAA